rnacentral:rRNA from 1 species
UACGUAGGAGGCAAGCGUUAUCCGGAAUCACUGGGCGUAAAGCGUCCGCAGGUGGGAAAGCAAGUCUCUCAUUAAAUCCCGAUGCCUAACAUCGGACCUGUGAGGGAAACUACUUUUCUAGAGGAUGGGAGAGGCUAGUGGAAUUCUCGGUGUAGGGGUAAAAUCCGUAGAUAUCGAGAGGAACACCAAAAGCGAAGGCAGCUAGCUGGAACAUUCCUGACACUCAUGGACGAAAGCGUGGGGAG